GUGGUCGCUGAUGUCUUUGGCGCGGCAGUCAGUCACACCAAACUUAAACUUGAUUUUUUCAAUAGUUUUCCAUGAAUCUUUAAAUCUGGCACGUUUGUCGUACCGUCGGCAGUUUGCUUUCUCCGCAAAUAUGAAAUCAUGCGCUAUAUAAUUUUUAGAGUUCAAAGUAGAUGUGGGACUCUCAGCUCCAACACUGAAGUCCUUGGAAAAUCCAAUUCUGUUGGCAUCACAGAUGGCUUGUAAAAGACACUCAUGCCCAUUGUAGCCGUAACUUUAAUAAUAAAACCGGAUUUAGUACAUGUACAUACGACUAUUACAACAUACCCGUUAAGUAAAUACUCAAUAAAAGCGUAUAUAUUCCA